rnacentral:rRNA from 1 species
CGCGCGAUACAGGGUGACAGCCCCGUACACAAAAAUGCACAUAUUGUGAGCUCGAUGAGUAGGGCGGGACACGUGGUAUCCUGUCUGAAUAUGGGGGGACCAUCCUCCAAGGCUAAAUACUCCUGACUGACCGAUAGUGAACCAGUACCGUGAGGGAAAGGCGAAAAGAACCCCGGCGAGGGGAGUGAAAAAGAACCUGAAACCGUGUACGUACAAGCAGUGGGAGCACGCUUAGGCGUGUGACUGCGUACCUUUUGUAUAAUGGGUCAGCGACUUAUAUUCUGUAGCAAGGUUAACCGAAUAGGGGAGCCGAAGGGAAACCGAGUCUUAACUGGGCGUUAAGUUGCAGGGUAUAGACCCGAAACCCGGUGAUCUAGCCAUGGGCAGGUUGAAGGUUGGGUAACACUAACUGGAGGACCGAACCGACUAAUGUUGAAAAAUUAGCGGAUGACUUGUGGCUGGGGGUGAAAGGCCAAUCAAACCGGGAGAUAGCUGGUUCUCCCCGAAAGCUAUUUAGGUAGCGCCUCGUGAAUUCAUCUCCGGGGGUAGAGCACUGUUUCGGCAAGGGGGUCAUCCCGACUUACCAACCCGAUGCAAACUGCGAAUACCGGAGAAUGUUAUCACGGGAGACACACGGCGGGUGCUAACGUCCGUCGUGAAGAGGGAAACAACCCAGACCGCCAGCUAAGGUCCCAAAGUCAUGGUUAAGUGGGAAACGAUGUGGGAAGGCCCAGACAGCCAGGAUGUUGGCUUAGAAGCAGCCAUCAUUUAAAGAAAGCGUAAUAGCUCACUGGUCGAGUCGGCCUGCGCGGAAGAUGUAACGGGGCUAAACCAUG